rnacentral:rRNA from 1 species
UACGAAGGGGGCUAGCGUUGCUCGGAAUCACUGGGCGUAAAGCGCACGUAGGCGGAUCUUUAAGUCAGGGGUGAAAUCCUGGAGCUCAACUCCAGAACUGCCUUUGAUACUGAGGAUCUCGAGUCCGGGAGAGGUGAGUGGAACUGCGAGUGUAGAGGUGAAAUUCGUAGAUAUUCGCAAGAACACCAGUGGCGAAGGCGGCUCACUGGCCCGGUACUGACGCUGAGGUGCGAAAGCUAGGGGAGCAAACGGG